GUCAUUUAGUGUCAUCUACCGUCAUCUACUUGUCAUCUAGUGUUCUCUACCGUAGUGUCAUCUACCGUGAUCUAUAGUGUCAUCUAUCAUCAUCCAGUGUCAUCUACCGUAAUGUCAUCUACCGUAAUGUCAUCUAUAGUGCAGUCUACCGUCAUCUAGUGUGGUGUCUUCUACCGUAGUGUCAUCUAUCGUCAUCUAGUGUCCUCUACCGUAGUCUCAUCUACCGUGAUCUAUAGUGUCAUCUAUCGUAAUCUAGUGUCAUCUACCAUAGUGUCAUCUAUAGUGCAGUCUACCGUCAUCUAGUGUAGUGUCUUCUACCGUAGUGUCAUCUACCGUCAUCUAGCAACUCGCCUGCGUCUAAGUUUGGUGACCUCUGCAGUUAUUAAGUUAGUAAUGUGAUAUUCAAUACUUUGAAGGUCAAUUCAACAAUACACCCUUUCGAUAAUUACGUCAUUUGGCCUGGAAGCCUCGCUCUCAUGAAUCGUCAGCCAAUCGCCUUGCGUCUUUACUAGGGAGUUUAGGAAUGUAAGACGGCGACGUCAGGACGACGCUAAACAAACUGUUUGAAAUAAAUGAUUGUAUCGAAGUCUUGAAUGAUUAUAGUUGGUUAACCAUCGUAUUCGGGUUAAAUUAUAAGUUUCACAAGCAAAUUUGAGGCUCACACACAGCAAAAACU